UCCAUAGGAGAUUUGACAUUUCACAUUUGGGGCACGCUAGAAGUUGGCUCAAGUUUUUCACAGAAAAAAAGGUUACAGCAAAUGGAUGCUAAUUCCCGCUCAUAAAAGUUUUCCGCAAUACCCUCUAUAACAUAAAGGUUGAACAAAUCCUUAAACAAAAUCAAAAGGUAAAACAGAUUUUAAAAGUAACGCUUGGUUUGUUUUAGCAUUAUCAUCAUUCACCGAGAAAUUUGCGUUUUUUAGCAGUGUUCAUGUAGGGUCUCAGAACCCAUUCGACCUCUGCUUCAUCUUGUUCCAAUGUUCCUAAUUUCACCUGCAAAGAAACAGCAUUGACAUUAAUGAACUAGAUUGAAUCUGCCGUAUACACAGAACAUAUAUAACAUAUUUUCAAAAUAUGACAAAAAGUAAAAUUAAAUUUUGUCAAAACCAAAUGAAAAAGAGAGUUUCAGGUCAGUUAUGGACUAAAAACAGAAUAAACCGAGUGUAUAGUACCUGGUAGAGCCGCAACUCAAACCGAGGACCAAUUUCUUUUAGCUCAAUUGAUUUCGGGCCUCCUUCUCCUUUAUCAUACACAUGAUUCCUAUAUAUAUAUACGCCCAUAAGAAUUUUCAAACAAGAAAAGAGACAAAACAAAACAGUCAUAAAUAGUUUUCAACUUAGUUUAUUAUGGCGAAAACUUGUAUACCUGAACGAAAUGUAGUCAGAUUCAUUAGAAAACGUAACAAUACGCUUUGCAUCCAGCUUCGGAACUGGGAAGAUGUGUUUUAAGAUGUUCAUAACUCUUUUACCCAUCUGCCAAAAGAUCAACAUGUUAAUAAAACUAGUUGGAAUUGCAGUAAAGAAGGAAGUGAAACGGUUCUACAAAUAUACAUGCCUGUGUUGUAAAGCGUUCAAAAAUGAGAUGAGGAUAUUGCUCAGACAUUUUUCCCAUUUCUUUCUUGGUUUGAAUUUCAUGUCUUGUUACCUAAAAACAAAAAGGGGUACUCUGGAUUAAGCAAAGCAAAGUACUUCUCUAAACAUAAUAAACUCAAAGAGGUACUUACCACAUUAAGUAACUGAAAGUAGGCAGUAGGUCCGAACGGGAGAUGAGAGAUAAUAAGACCAUCAGGCUUACCACGGUUCUCAGAAACAAAUAUCACAUCAGUAAAAUCAUGAGAACGCGCCGUUUCAAUAAUCUCGGAAAUGACCUGCAAAAAGAAACAAGUUCCAGUAUUAUGAUCGUAAUGCCUAAUACAUUAAAGAUGUGUAUCGUGUUGUGUAAUUUCACUACAACUCUCAAGUUAAAUGACCAGGAAACAAAAUGGUCCAAAAGGAUUAGAUACUUAUAUUUUUUUGUAUGAAUUACAAAAGCCAAAAGAAGACACAUACCUGACUACCACGAUUCAGUUUACUGGCGUUAGGAAAUACAAUGUUCAAUUCCUACAAAAAAGAUUCCACACGCAAUUAAAGAAUCAAUAACAGUAAUAUUAACAUGUUAUUCACUGAACAAAACUAAACUUGCAGCUAUACCUUAACGAAUCGCGUAAGAGGAGCACUUGGAUCCCUAGAGGUAGUCAACAAAAUCUUGGGUUCUUUCUCAGUUGCAUUUGCGUAUUCAUCAUCAAUAUGACUCCUCGGAACUAUUUGCCACGUCAUAAUAAUUAGUAAUAUAUAACCAAAAAAAAUAUUUAUUGGAAUAAUGCAAAAACAUAUAAAAUCACUACAAGAACAUAAUACAAACGAAACAUAUGUGUUGGAACAACAUUAACCUCUUCGAACACUAAGAAGAUUCAGUUAUCAAUACAAGAAGACCAGAACACAAGUAGAAUUAUUACCGGCAGUGUUUUGAUCUUCGAGAUCAAUCUCCUGACGAAGCUUCGCCUCCUCGUUACGGAGCUCAGUAGGAAUCGGCUUACCUUCUGUUUACACAUAAACAAAAGCAUCGAAAUCAAUAAACAGAGGGAGAGAAACCUUAAUAGAGAUUGUAAACGAAUAAGUUCGAACCUUGAAGGGCUUCUCUUAUCUUGCGCUUCUUCUCGUAGAUCUCACGCUCAUUACCUUCCAAGUUUUUCCUGUAGAGAUACUCUUUUCUUAACCUAACGUUCCUGCGCAACAUCUUGAUUCCUCGAGAGAGAGAGAGAGAGAGAGAGAGAGAGAGGCUACGAAGGAACUCGUUUCGUUUGUGUGUGGCGAUUUAGGGUUUUAGGAAAAGGGUUUCUAGCGAUGCAAUGCGUUUGUUGUCUGUCUAUAACAAGGUGAAACGGAUCGUAACCUUUUUGGGCCAUUUAGUAUAUGGGCCUUUAAAGUAAAACAAUAAAAACAAAAUUGUAAACAAGUGCCCUCACGCAGGAUUGAACUACGGACCUUCAGUUUACAAGACUGACGCUCUACCACUGAGCUAUAAGGGCCUUCUGCUAUACUAAUAACUGUAGCAUAAAUGGAUUUCUGCAAACCUGUAAAGCCCAACCUCAAAGCCUAAUCACUGAUUAAACAGACCAACUAUGACAGUAAAACAUUCUUAACAAAUUUAAGGCCCAAUAGCUCUACUGUUAACAAAAAGGUGUUUGGUUCAAUUUUUGGUAAACUUAAAACGUUAUUUAUCUUCUUUUUUUAACAAAACGUUAAUUAUCUACAUAUUGAAAAAAAAAAAAGAGUAGAUUAUGGGUCAAGAAUAAAAUUUGCUUUUAAGCCUACAACUAUGAGGACUGACUCUGCUAUGAAGUACGAACUUACAAAGUAUCAACACAAGACAACCGAACCUAUAAACACACACACACACACACAAGUUAACAAAUUUGGAAAAAAUUGAUUACAGACUUACAGUGUCUUUGGAGCUAGUUUGCCUUUUUGGACGAAGUAGGAAAAUUACACUCAAGCAGACAAUUAAAUGGAUAUAUUAAUUAGAGAAAUGAAAAUUACUUGGCUGCGUCUUACGUUGAUGGAAAGAAUAAUUUGUGUUACAUUUUUGUACAAUUUAUUUCUUAAUUGGCUUAAAUUGCACCUACAAAGACUUUGCCAGGUAGCUUUUGACCACUUUUUCAAGAGUGCUCUAGUUCUUAUUAAUUAAUUAACUAAAGUUUACAUUAAGUCAUAGUAAAUAAUCAAAUCAUACUUCAUUCUUUAUCUAUUUGUUCGACAAGCUUUAUCAUAUAGAAUCCCUUCGAAAUGCCAACUCCCUAUUGGUUUGGAAAUUAAUCACUAUUUUAAUAAAAUAUUGAAAAAGGUAAUUAGAAGAUUCAUCUAGAAAAAAACAUUUUUAAUAGUAAUUUAUCCGUUUCAUCUCAACAUUUUAGGAUUUUUGUUUGAGAAAUUAAAGUUUAACUUAAUAUCUAAAACCAAUUUGAAUGCUAUUGGUUGAAAAUUCAUUCUUGAUAAAUGUUAGGUUUUGGAACAUCUCACUUCGAACUUAAUCAAGACUGGUAUAAAUGUUAUGUUUUGGAACAUCUCACUUCGAACAUCCUGGAUAAAAAAAUACCAAUCUAUUGUUUUUUGUUUAAAUGUAAAUGUAAACAAAAUAUAGUUCAACUAACAGAUGUAAAAUGAAAUCAUUAAUCAAUAAAGAUUCCCGUAAAAUAUUAAUUAGCACAAAGUAAUGUAGCUUAUCUUUUAUUAGUCUGGCAAGCGUUUAAAACUAUACUUUUUUUUAUGAAAAAGGAGAACAAACAAGAGAAAAGUAUAAAAUAAUAGUCAUAUGGGCUCCGAGACUGACGGACUGCGACAUGAAGCCCAUGAUCAGACUAACUACUCUAAGUCCAAUGUGGAAUCUCAUUCAACGGUCAAAAACGCUGAAGCGUUAACGACAAAGACUCACGCAAAGGGAGCUCGUUGUACGGUUCAGCCAGCUCACAUGAUAGAGACAGGCAACAGAUUUAGCUGUUUAAGAUUGUGUGCUGUCACUGGGUGACCUAGCUAGAAGAUAAGGUUUAAGGUUGUGUAUAAAUAACAGAGUGAUGUGUAACGCAAAAGACAAGUUGAAUAACAAACAGUAGUUGUUGGAAUGACGGAUAUUGAGGCCAUGUCAACGUAAGCCUGACUUGUGAUAAAUAAAUCUACACAGACCUGCGGCAUUGCUGAAUGGCUUAGAUAGGAACAAAAUAUUGAAAUGAACAAGAAUGAUACAUCGUAUAUUAGUGAUAAGCAGAUGGAAACAUAUUCAGUAAACUCAUAAUUAAAAUCUAAUCUAUUAAAAUAGGAGUACAAAAUUAGAUUAUCCCUUAGUUUUCCACUAUAUUUACAAUGGCAUGCCACUGAAGUUAUUAAUUAACCUAUCUUUUAGGAUUUUUGUCUUUUCUCUUCAAUUAAUGUAUUUCCAAAAUCAAAUUCUAACUAAAAAAUCAUGGCAACAAUAAUUAAUAAACCUAACUUUUAAUAUUUUUUGUCUUUUCCUUUUUAUUAUACAUAUGUGUAUUUGAAAAUAAUUAAUUCCAUAUAUACAUUUCGUAAUUACAUACAUUAUACGGUAAUUAUUUUACUAAUUCCACAUAUACAUAAUAAAUAGUAUACAACAAUUUCAUUAUACAUAAUCAUAAAAUUUUGAUCCAUAAAAACAGUUUAUACAAUAAUUUUAUUAUAUAUAAUCAUAAAAUUUUGAUCCAUAAAAAAUAAAAAUACAUUUGUGUGAUUUUACAGGUCGUAUUCUAAAUAAAUGGAUGAUAUAAUUAAGGGUUUACAUGAUAAAAUAAAACUACUCAAUAUAAACUAUAAAAUUAUUGUGUUUAUAAAUGUCAUAUUAAAAAAAAAUUAAACGGGUAAAUUUUAAAAUAUAUAUUAUCACUUAUACAAAUAAAUAUUCAUUUAUCAAAAAACUAACACCUGCGCGGGUGCGCGGGUCAAGCUCUAGUAAAGUCUUAUAUUUGGUUAUCACAUUUUGAGUCGAGUUUGUUUAUGUUGAUGACAAAAAAAAAAAUCAUAUGAAAAGUUUUAAAGUCAGUGCAUUUGACAUAAUAAGCCUUGCAAAGUCUGCUCGUAAUCACCUUUUCCAUCAUAUAGGAAGCGAAGCCAACAUAAUUUGUAGCAGUAUGUUCAAACUCUAUGUAUCCAACUUUCCAUUUAUCCACUUUGCUUAUCACUUUUAUAAAAAUAUGAAUAGGAUCUUUCCUAUUUUAAGUCUGCAUCGUAAGAAAAAUGUUUAACCAUUUUAAGACGAUCACGUUUUCUUUUUAGAAGCAGAAAAGUUUUUCGAAUCAUCUCCUCUCAUGCCCCUAUAUCUUAUAACACAAUCUCAAAAGGACACUUUUGUUCUUUUAAUUUUAUAUGUCAAACGAAAAAUCAUAAAAUUAAAAUGGAAACGUUAAUAUUUUUUAUUUGAUUUAUACAAUUUGAUAAAAAUAUUUCAAAAAUCCAAAAACGUUGUUUUCUAUAUUUUCGAAAAAAUCAUCAAAAUAUGAUUAAAAACGAUUUUAAAAUAUUUCUUUUUGAAUUUAAAAAGUAUAGAAUUUAAAUAUUUGCCCAUGGGUUCACUAAUCCAUAGGGAGGGUUAGGGUUUAGUUUUGAUAACCGGAAAGGAUUUGAUUUGGGAGUUUAAAUUUUGAUUAAAAAAAGAAUUAUGAAAUAUGGGUAUAGGAGACUCUAGAAGUCCAUAGGAGAUUUGACAUUUCACAUUUGGGGCACGCUAGAAGUUGGCUCAAGUUUUUCACAGAAAAAAAGGUUACAGCAAAUGGAUGCUAAUUCCCGCUCAUAAAAGUUUUCCGCAAUACCCUCUAUAACAUAAAGGUUGAACAAAUCCUUAAACAAAAUCAAAAGGUAAAACAGAUUUUAAAAGUAACGCUUGGUUUGUUUUAGCAUUAUCAUCAUUCACCGAGAAAUUUGCGUUUUUUAGCAGUGUUCAUGUAGGGUCUCAGAACCCAUUCGACCUCUGCUUCAUCUUGUUCCAAUGUUCCUAAUUUCACCUGCAAAGAAACAGCAUUGACAUUAAUGAACUAGAUUGAAUCUGCCGUAUACACAGAACAUAUAUAACAUAUUUUCAAAAUAUGACAAAAAGUAAAAUUAAAUUUUGUCAAAACCAAAUGAAAAAGAGAGUUUCA
rnacentral:lncRNA from 1 species